rnacentral:rRNA from 1 species
AGUGAACGCUGGCGGCAUGCCUAACACAUGCAAGUCGAACGGCAGUACAGUAAGUGCUUGCUCUUGGGGGGGGCGAGAGGCGGACGGGUUAGGAAGACAUCGGAACCUACUUUUGCGUGGGGGAGAACGUAGGGAGACUUACGCUAAUACCGCAUACGACCUACGGGCGAAAGCAGGGGAUGUUCCGACCUUGCGCGAUGGCAUGAGCCGAUGUCGGAUUAGCUAGUUGGCGGGGUAAAGGCCCACCAAGGCGACGAUCCGUAGCUGGUCUGAGAGGAUGACCAGCCACACUGGAACUGAGACACGGCCCAGACUCCUACGGGAGGCAGCAGUGGGGAAUUUUGGACAAUGGGCGAAAGCCUGAUCCAGCAAUGCCGCGUGGGUGAAGAAGGCCUUCGGGUUGUAAAGCCCUUUUGUUCGGAAAGAAAAGCAGCGGGUUAAUACCCCGCUGUGAUGACGGUACCGAAAGAAUAAGCACCGGCUAACUACGUG